AAUUUCUAGACCAGAAUCGAAAACUUCAUGAAAUGAGUGGAGGCAUUAACGACCGCAGAGACGGGAAUGGACACGCUAUCCAAACGGACGUUGUGUUUGAAGUAGAUCGACAUAUUCCCAACACUUACUUCUUUUCUGUGAAGAAGCUUGCAGUAUGGCUGUCACUAGGUCAGAAUUGUGCUGGAGCUUGGCGAUUCUCCGAUCUCGUCUCUUCAGUUGACGGACAAGGCGGGACGACACAAAGUUGAUCCGAUGUUGUAGUUCUUCGACUGUCUUCUUCAGCUGAGAACAGAGGGGAGGAUCCGUGAGGCGUGUUUAGUGUCAUUCUCCAGCUGAAAAGAGUUCCUCCUCCAGUGGUACACUUCCGACGUGCUGGAACACUCGGUGAAGGUGUCGCUUUCAAAACUGUCAUGUCGCCCAUCGUACCAACGAUCAUAAAUCUCACACAGAAGAUCAUCAACAAUGGACGUCUUACGGUCGUGGUGCGGAAAAUCGGUCACGAAGCUGAGUGAUGACAUUUCACAGAGCUGUCAAAGACCUUACCCACAUUCUGAAAAAAAAAUAUUGAUAUAAUUUUUUUUAAAUGUAUUCUAGUUUUAGACGUUUUUAACACACUUAACUGUAGUGAGUAAAAAUAAAUAAAAUCCACAAUUAGACAUU